rnacentral:misc_RNA from 1 species
GAAAUGCGAUAAGUAAUGUGAAUUGCAGAAUUCAGUGAAUCAUCGAAUCUUUGAACGCACCUUGCGCUCCUUGGUAUUCCUUGGAGCAUGCCUGUUUGAGUAUCAUGAAAUCUUCAAAGUAAAUCUUUUGUUAACUCAAUUGGUUUCUACUUUGGUAUUGGAGGUCUUUGCAGCUUCACACCUGCUCCUCUUUGUUCAUUAGCUGGAUCUCAGUGUUAUGCUUGGUUCCACUCGGCGUGAUAAGUUAUCUAUCGCUGAGGACACUGUAAAAGGUGGCCAAGGUAAAUGCAGAUGAACCGCUUCGAAUAGUCCAUUGACUUGGAAAAUACUUUUAUGAUCUGAUCUCAAAUCAGGUAGGACUACCCGCUGAACUUAAGC